rnacentral:misc_RNA from 1 species
GAUGAAGAACGCAGCGAAAUGCGAUAAGUAAUGCGAAUUGCAGAAUUCAGUGAAUCAUCGAAUCUUUGAACGCACCUUGCGCUCCUUGGUAUUCCGAGGAGCAUGCCUGUUUGAGUGUCAUUAAAUUCUCAACCUUUAUCUUUUAUUGAUAAAUGGCUUGGACUUGGGGGUUUGCUGGCGAAAGUCAGCUCCUCUGAAAUGUAUUAGCUGGUUGCCUUGUGUGAACUUGUCUAUUGGUGUGAUAAUUAUCUACGCCGUGGGCUGUUUGCCGUUUUAGCACUGCUUCUAACUGUCUGUUAACUCGGACAAUAUAUGACAAUUUGACCUCAAAUCAGGUAGGACUACCCGCUGAACUUAAGCAUAUCAAUAAGCGGAGGA